AGUGAACGCUGGCGGUAGGCCUAAAAAAGGAAAGUCGAACGGCAGCACAUAAAGAGCUGGCUUUAACGGGGGCGGGGGGGGGGAGGGGGGGGGAAAAAACCGGAACUUACUUUUUCGGGGGGGUAAAGGAGGGGAACCUUACGCAAUAACCCAUAAGAACUUAGGGGGGAAAGCAGGGGACCUUGGAACUUUGGGCGAUGGAUGGGGCGAUGUCGGAUUAGGUAGUUGGCGGGGGAAAGGCCCACCAAGGCGACGAUCCGUAGCUGGUCUGAGAGGAUGAUCAGCCACACUGGAACUGAGACACGGUCCAGACUCCUACGGGAGGCAGCAGUGGGGAAUAUUGGACAAUGGGCGCAAGCCUGAUCCAGCCAUACCGCGUGGGUGAAGAAGGCCUUCGGGUUGUAAAGCCCUUUUGUUGGGAAAGAAAAGCAGCAGGUUAAUACCCCGCUGUUCUGACGGUACCCAAAGAAUAAGCACCGGCUAACUUCGUG
rnacentral:rRNA from 1 species